GACAGAGGUGCCAAGCGUUAGGCGGAAUCACUGGGCUUAAAGCGUGUGUAGGUGGAUUUCUAAGUACCUUGUGAAAUCCCACAGCUCAACUGUGGAACUGCUUGGUAUACUGGUUAUCUUGAGGCAACUAGGGGCUACCGGAACAAAUGGUGGAGCGGUGAAAUGCGUAGAUAUCAUUUGGAACGCCAAUGGUGAAAACAGGUAGCUGGGGUUGUCCUGACACUGAGACACGAAAGCCAGGGGAGCAAACGGG
rnacentral:rRNA from 1 species